CCUACGUGUGGCAGCAGUCGAGAAUCAUUCACAAUGGGGGAAACCCUGAUGGUGCGACGCCGCGUGGGGGAAUGAAGGUCUUCGGAUUGUAAACCUCUGUCUUCGGUGACGAAACGAGACGGUAGACGAGGAGGAAGCCACGGCUAACUACGUGCCAGCAGCCGCGGUAAUACGUAGGUGGCAAGCGUUGUCCGGAAUUACUGGGUGUAAAGGGAGCGUAGGCGGGAAAGCAAGUUGAAUGUUUAAGGUACGGGCUCAACCUGUACAAGCGUUCAAAACUGUUUUUCUUGAGUGGAGUAGAGGUAAGCGGAAUUCCUAGUGUAGCGGUGAAAUGCGUAAAUAUUAGGAGGAACACCAGUGGCGAAGGCGGCUUACUGGGCUUUAACUGACGCUGAGGCUCGAAAGCGUGGGUAGCAAACAGGAUUAGAUACCCCAGUAGUC
rnacentral:rRNA from 1 species